UCCUGGCUCAGGAUGAACGCUAGCUACAGGCUUAACACAUGCAAGUCGAGGGGCAGCAUGGAGUCUGCUUGCAGACUCUGAUGGCGACCGGCGCACGGGUGAGUAACGCGUAUCCAACCUGCCCAUUACUCGGGCAUAGCCCAGUGAAAACUGGAUUAACUCCCGAUACUGUUCUGAAGCGGCAUCUUAUCAGGACAAAAGGUUUACGGUAAUGGAUGGGGAUGCGUCUGAUUAGGUAGUAGGCGGGGUAACGGCCCACCUAGCCGACGAUCAGUAGGGGUUCUGAGAGGAAGGUCCCCCACACUGGAACUGAGACACGGUCCAGACUCCUACGGGAGGCAGCAGUGAGGAAUAUUGGUCAAUGGCCGGAAGGCUGAACCAGCCAAGUAGCGUGAAGGAUGAAGGUUCUAUGGAUUGUAAACUUCUUUUAUACGGGAAUAAAACCACCUACGUGUAGGUGCUUGUAUGUACCGUAUGAAUAAGCAUCGGCUAACCCCGUG
rnacentral:rRNA from 1 species